UACGUAGGGUGCGAGCGUUAAUCGGAAUUACUGGGCGUAAAGCGUGCGCAGGCGGCUUCGCAAGUCAGGCGUGAAAUCCCCGGGCUUAACCUGGGAAUGGCGUCUGAAACUACGGAGCUGGAGUGUGGCAGAGGGAGGUAGAAUUCCACGUGUAGCGGUGAAAUGCGUAGAUAUCGCUUGGAACGCCAAAGGUGAAAACAGGUUGCUGGGGUUGUGCCGACGCUGAGACACGAAAGCCAGGGGAGCAA
rnacentral:rRNA from 1 species